rnacentral:tmRNA from 1 species
GGGGCUGACUGGAUUUGACAGCGGGACGGAGUGGUACGUAAGCAUGCAGUGAGUCGCUGGCCCUCACUUAAAUCUCAGUCUGCAAACAAUUAAUUGGCGAAACUUCUUACGCUCUCGCUGCCUAAUCGAAGUAUAGUAGAUAUGGCUUUAUCUCCUUGCUAGGCGAGGAGACGAGACAUCGCUCUGAAAGCCCUUGCUCCGAGGCGUUCAGGUUAGCGGUGCUAGAAAUUCGGGGAUAGCCGGUUGUGUACCUCACGCAUCAGGUGAAAUUUUUGAGGCUAAGGCAGUAGUGGAUGGCUUGGGUUCUGGCUGCUGCCCUACAAUGAAGGCCAAGAUAAGCAUGUAGAAAGCGUAUGGCUUCCUCGUUUGGACGAGGGUUCAAUCCCCUCCAGCUCCAC